GCUUGCUGCAUCACUGCCUCAUUUCACACACACACACACCCACACACCCACACCCACAUACACACCUACACAGACGCAAGCAAAACACAACACACGGAAUUCAUGCUGAAGAAGGUGCUGAAGAUCAAAGGUGUUGAGAGCCGCACGGCACUCGUCGAGUUUGCCGUCAACAAGCGCGUCAAGUACCUCGAGUACUUGAAGGAGCUGCACAGCGAGGAGGGGACGCUGUGGAUGAAUACUGUGCACCUCGAUCUUCAUGAGAUAGGCAAAUACUUUAACAUCGCCGAUGCCUGCCUCCCGACCGAUCGAGACGGCGUCAGCAAAGAGGGGCUCAUUCAGCUGCCUGCUGAGAAGCCAGUGGCAGUUGCGGCAAGUGCGACAGGGGCGCUGGCGUCUUCGAGCAGCAGUGCCUCGGCCGAGCCUGGUGCGACGGGGGCCGACUUCAUCAACGUCUCCAUCGCCAACGCCCCAGCGGCGAUUCGGCAGCGCAGCAGCUCGGCGGCGGACUGGGCGCGGUACUACCUUCCCUGCUACGCCGCGCUUGCCAUUUCGCUCUCUGAGAUACUUGUCAUCCCUAUUGGCGGGGAGGAGUUUGUGGAGUGCUUUUACGGGCUGCUGCUGGAGCUAGAGGUUGCGUACGCAAGCGGGGCCGCCUCGAAGGCGCUGGCCCAGCGCAACCUCCGGCAGUUCCGCCAGCACGUGUCGCCAGGUCUCAAGUCACUCUUGCAGACAUCGACGGACGCAGAGACACUUGAUGCGACGCCGGCGUUUCCGGUGGUGACCACAUCAUCCGACCUCGACGCGCAGAUCAAGUAUCUUUUUCUGAACCAGCGACACCUCGAGUACAUGGCAGCUUCUCCGUCAUAUGACGCUGUUAUUCCUGCACUGUGCUCCGUCCUCAUGCUCGCCUACCGCAAACUCUGCGACUAUGAGCUGAUGAGAGAGGACGAGUGCGUGCGCCGCAUCCUCUCCAUCGACAAGCGACUUGAGCGACUCUUCUUCGCCCACGUGAGCCAUGAGGUGGGCAAAAUAGCAAAACAGAAACUUCUGCGCGAGGCGUACAUCCUCUCUACCGGCGCCUUGUUUGCGGACCUCGUCGAUGCAUCGGGACGCAGUGGCGCCAGCGGUGCUUCUGGCAUCGAUGGCGGAGCGGACUUUGUUGCGGACUUGCUCAUCCAGCAGCAGCAGCGCCGUGGGUCGUCGAGUCCGACAACCGCUGAGAAGAAAGGGUUCGACUCCUCUGACGAUGACGAGAACGAUGGAACCGUCUGGUUUGGCCCGGAAGAGGACAGGUAAGGAAUUUGUUCGUGCGGUGAUGGAACCUCUGCUGCCUGCAAAGACAUCGCCUCGUGUCUGCGCGCGCGAGAAGCUGCUUUUCAGAUUGCGCGCACAUGCACGAGUG
rnacentral:misc_RNA from 1 species